UGAGCGCCGUGAGCGGCCUGGGGCUGCGGCCUGGAGGCGGCUUUUUCGAUCGUCACGUCCUUAGAGAAGCGUUGCGAGUCUGAGGGCCGCGUCUGAACCUGAAAUCGUGCUGUUCUUGGAUGAAAUCGUGCUGUUCUCGGAUAAAUUCUGUCCUAAGAAAGGCCCUGUUAAGCGCGUACCGACUUCGAGAGGCUCGGGCGUGCGUUGCAGCGGUCCCAGGAGCUGUCUUUCUCUGACCCGAAGAUUUCCCUUGGGCCGCCUCUUCGGUUUGAAGAAGCAGUGAAUCCUCAUGUUAAACUUGGACUGGAAGCCUGGUGUUGAUGGGAAUGGACAGUGAAUGAAUGUAAUGGAUUCAUCUCGCAUCUCUAUCUAAAUGGAUUUAAAAAGAACUCUUUUAAAAGUCAUGUUACAGUGCUGCUGGAAAAGGAAAGCAUCUUGUAGAAUAACAAGACCUAUCUUUUACAAACUGCUGUCAGAAAAAAGAUCUUCACCUAUGUCAGACUAACCCAUCUAGCAAAAUGUUGAGAGACAAAUUAAUUAUGAACAACGCCAAAUAUCUUUCCGUACUGGGGAAGGACUAUCUCUACUUAAUCUUGCUGUGUGAUCCUUAAGUCUACUACUGAGGUACAUUGUUCUGCCCUUGCCAAGAAGUACUGCUGGUACAUUAAACUAGUAAAAAGCUUAUGUGGUGUAUCCUAGGUAUGUUUAUUACUCUGAUAAGUGAAAGUAUAGCCUAAGGAUGUUCAUAAUGAGGGAUAAAUCUCAUUAUGAAAAUACACAAAUGAAAAAAGCCCAUGGGAACAAUUAAGUGAUGAUACACCAGUAUGCACUGGUAGGAUGAUUAGUAUGUUAAAUUAAUGAUGGCUGUGCUUUGGACAUUGAAUUUCAGGCAACAUAAGGUACUGGAUUAUAUAUCCUAACAUGUAGUCAUUGCAAAGACUACACUGGUUCUUUAGACUUACUCUUUUGUACUACAGCCACUUCUAGCAAAUGGACAUGAUGACCUAAAAAUCUUGAUGGUUUUCCCUUGGACUUGUGCCUUAUACUGCAAAUAGCAGUAGUUUGUUCCUUUUUGCUCCUCCAAGAGUAUUUCCUUGAGUUUGAGAGCAGGUCGUGCUCCUGGUUUGUGUCAGUAUUUAUUGCAAGCUGUGCAGACUGCUGGUCUUAAACUUCAUAAUCUCAGUUGAAUUAUACCCCUGCCUUUUCUCCAGGCUUGUGGAUUUUUUUGUUUUUCUUCAUUUGGUUGGUUUUUAGCUUUGGUGUGUUUGCAUAGGGGAAGUCUAACUCUUGUGGCUUGGCCACACCUAUUUCUGAUAUGAUGUAAUGUACUGUGCUUGCCUUAAGGGAGAAUUUUGAGGAUUUAAUUUAACAGCUCCCAUCAACAUACCAAUACCCCCCCCCCCAAAAAAAAUUGGAAAAAAAAACCCCUGCUGUUUGUCCUUUAAUAUCAUGAAAUGUUGAUUUGUAACUGAAUAA